GUAGGUGAACCUGCGGAGGGAUCAUUAACAUCAACAAUCAAUCGAGAAUGGGUGACAGAGGGGGAAUCUGAUGGCUCCUAGCCAUUCUGUUUCUUCUCUCUUCUCCCCAUUCUUCGAUCUCAACCCUGAACACAUCAAUACACACAAACAAACCCAAACUGGGAUCUCGUCAAGAGCCUCUCUCUCUCAUCCACAGCAAUGUGUGAUGGGGUUGAUGGCUCUUGUCGGAUCCUCCCUUUCUCUUUACCCCUGAUAACUUUGUUCAUUCUCUCCCCUUCAUUGUGAGGUUGUUGCUACCAAGCAGCACUCACAAGUAUGAUUUAUGAAUGUUUUAUAUCACUCCCCACCCUGGAUAUCUUGGUUCUC
rnacentral:misc_RNA from 1 species